rnacentral:rRNA from 1 species
GACGAACGCUGGCGGCGUGCUUAACACAUGCAAGUCGAACGGAAAGGCCCUGCUUUUGUGGGGUGCUCGAGUGGCGAACGGGUGAGUAACACGUGAGUAACCUGCCCUUGACUUUGGGAUAACUUCAGGAAACUGGGGCUAAUACCGGAUAGGAGCUCCUGCUGCAUGGUGGGGGUUGGAAAGUUUCGGCGGUUGGGGAUGGACUCGCGGCUUAUCAGCUUGUUGGUGGGGUAGUGGCUUACCAAGGCUUUGACGGGUAGCCGGCCUGAGAGGGUGACCGGGCACAUUGGGACUGAGAGACGGCCCAGACUCCUACGGGAGGCAGCAGGGGGGAGUAUUGCACAAUGGGCGGAAGCCUGAUGCAGCAACGCCGCGUGCGGGAUGACGGCCUUCGGGUUGUAAACCGCUUUCGCAUGUGACGAAGCGUGAGUGACGGUAAUGGGUAAAGAAGCACCGGCUAACUACGUG